rnacentral:rRNA from 1 species
GACGAACGCUGGCGGCGUGCUUAACACAUGCAAGUCGAACGGAAAGGCCCUGCUCUUGUGGGGUGCUCGAGUGCCGAACGGGUGAGUGACACGUGUGUAACCUGUCCUUGUCUUUCUGAUAUAUUCACGGAACUCGGGCUCAUACCGCGUAGAAUCUCCUGCUCCAUGGUGUGGGAUGGAAAGUUUCGGCGGUUGGGGAUGGACUCGCGGGUUAUGAGCUUGUUUGUGGGGUAGUGGCUUACCAAGCCUAAGACGGGUAGCCGGCCUGAGAGGGUUGCCGGCCACAUGGGGACUGAGAGACGGCCCAGACUCCUACGGGAGGCAGCAGUCGGGAAUAUGGCAGAACGGGCGGAAGCCUGAUGCAGCAACGCCGGGUGCGGGAUGACGGGCUUCGGGUUGUAAACCGCUUUGGCCGGUGAUGAAGAGUGCGUGACGGUAAUGGGUAAAGAAGCACCGGCUAACUACGUG